ensembl:snRNA U6 U6 spliceosomal RNA
GUGCUCACUUCAGCAGCACAUAUACUAGAACUGGAAUGAUACAGAGAAACUUAGCAUGGCCCUGUGCAAGGAUGACAUGCAGAUUCAUGAAGCGUUCCAUAUUUUU